rnacentral:rRNA from 1 species
CUCCUGACUGACCGAUAGUGAACCAGUACCGUGAGGGAAAGGCGAAAAGAACCCCGGCGAGGGGAGUGAAAAAGAACCUGAAACCGUGUACGUACAAGCAGUGGGAGCCUCUUUUAUGGGGUGACUGCGUACCUUUUGUAUAAUGGGUCAGCGACUUAUAUUCUGUAGCAAGGUUAACCGAAUAGGGGAGCCGAAGGGAAACCGAGUCUUAACUGGGCGUUAAGUUGCAGGGUAUAGACCCGAAACCCGGUGAUCUAGCCAUGGGCAGGUUGAAGGUUGGGUAACACUAACUGGAGGACCGAACCGACUAAUGUUGAAAAAUUAGCGGAUGACUUGUGGCUGGGGGUGAAAGGCCAAUCAAACCGGGAGAUAGCUGGUUCUCCCCGAAAGCUAUUUAGGUAGCGCCUCGUGAAUUCAUCUCCGGGGGUAGAGCACUGUUUCGGCAAGGGGGUCAUCCCGACUUACCAACCCGAUGCAAACUGCGAAUACCGGAGAAUGUUAUCACGGGAGACACACGGCGGGUGCUAACGUCCGUCG